CUUAUUUCGAAGCUUGAUAUGUGAUUGGGUUACAGAUAGAAAAACAAGAUGGCGUUAUUGUUCUUCCAAGAUGACUGAAAAGGUGUAACGAGUAAAUUAGCUGUUAGCAAAGUUUCUUAACUUUCUUUUGCUUGAAAGGAUUUCUCAAGUGAAAAUUAACAGGUUUCCCUCAUUAUCAGCUAUUCAGGCUGCUGAUCCAGAAAAUACUAAACUACCGAUGUCUUUUUUCUGUUAUGUCAUCUCUCAUUGAAGAUGAGCUCAGCCCUUUUCAGUCUCCCAUUUAACCAAAUGGCAUAUCUCAUUUCAUUGAAAUCAUGAUCUUUAAACUAAAUGCACAAGUCUUCACUUACUUUGCAUUGACAUCUGAUCAACCAUUAUCUAAAUUAUCCAGUCUACAGCAGUUUUCCAUCCUAGCCAAAAAUCAAACAGUAGUAUCUCAAUCAUCCAGCCAUCACUACUUCCGAACUUAAGUCAGCUAUCGUUUAUAGACUUCAACUUCUUUUCACGAACUUCGAAAUUUUGGUCGUUGGAUCCCGUCUUGACCAUAUCUUCACCUUUUUCCGUAGCUGACCAACACGCAUAGACUUUAAUGCUGUCGCCUUCAUUGAGAUUGUCAAUUGUCCAUCAUCAUCAUGUCUGCCGAAAAAUCGCUGUUCAAUUCAAGUCAUCAAGUCAUGCCUCCUUACGGAUCUUCCAAGUAUGUUUAACUGGUGCCGUAUUCAGAAUUAAUUACAUUAAUAAAAAAUUUUGAGGUUGAUUUAUGGUUAUUAAAAUUUUAAAUUCCAGCUUCCAGGUGUUUUUGUUUUCCUCUAAAUCUCGUGUUUCUCUGCCUCAAUUUGGCAAAGUCACAGAGAGACCAUUCUUUUUUAGUGUUUCCGCCAUGAUUGUGACUAAAGGUUUCCUUUAGGUACGAUCGCUUAAUGCUCUGUCAUAUAGUCUACGGCAUCGGAAAGAGCAACUACAUAGAGAUAAACUGAGGAUUUGGAGCUUGACAUGUCACCUUGAAAUGGGGACAGGAAAAAACAGCAUGUUUCGUUAAGAAUGGAGGGGAACCAUCUUUCACAUCUGACUUCCAGUUAAACUGGUCUGUUUUCCGAAAAAAAAGGCAACAUUUUUUAUUCAGACAUUCUUCAUUGGAAUUCUCAAGUGAUUGUGUUGGAACCUGUCACAUACUCUGUCGACGAUUUCCGUGGAACCUUUCGACGGCCUUCGAACAUCGAGCCGAUGUGACUGAACUGAAUGAGGUUUCCGAAAGCAGCAAUUGAAGAGUACAAAUUUAAUUUGAAAGUUUGUUAAGACAAAACAUAUUGUUGAACUUUGUUGGUUUUUUCUUGCCUUGAUGGGUAGGGGGGUUGAUGAAAUGUACUACUAGAAAGUUUGAAUUCUAAAAAGCGCUACAGCCAAUAGUGAGAUAACAAAUUUUAGAACUUGACGGAAUGUAUGAACGAGUUGACUUGUAAACUUUGCAUCGGCGUCGAGAUAAUAGCUAUUGAUAUAGUAGCCUGAAAAGUGUAGUUGGGAAUUGCAGGAAGUGCAAAUAUAAAUUAUGCUGCCAGCAA
rnacentral:lncRNA from 1 species